GUAACACGUGUGCAACCAACCCCGUACCGGGAGAUAACCCGCGGAAACGUGGACUAACACCCCAUAACACCUUUCCCCCGCAUGGGGGGGAGUUUAAAACCCCGGUGGUACGGGACGGGCACGCGCGACAUUAGGUAGUUGGCGGGGUAACGGCCCACCAAGCCGACGAUGUCUAGGGGUUCUGAGAGGAAGGUCCCCCACACUGGAACUGAGACACGGUCCAGACUCCUACGGGAGGCAGCAGUGAGGAAUAUUGGUCAAUGGGCGAGAGCCUGAACCAGCCAAGUCGCGUGAGGGAAGAAUGGUCUAUGGCCUGUAAACCUCUUUUGUCAAGGAAGAAUAAGCGGCACGAGUGCCACCUUGCCAGUACUUGACGAAUAAGCAUCGGCUAACUCCGUGCCAGCAGCCGCGGUAAUACGGGGGAUGCGAGCGUUAUCCGGAUUUAUUGGGUUUAAAGGGCGCGUAGGCGGGACGGCAAGUCAGCGGUAAAAGACUGCAGCUAAACUGUAGCACGCCGUUGAAACUGUCGACCUGGAGACGAGACGAGGGAGGCGGAACAAGUGAAGUAGCGGUGAAAUGCAUAGAUAUCACUUGGAACCCCGAUAGCGAAGGCAGCUUCCCAGGCUCGAUCUGACGCUGAUGCGCGAGAGCGUGGGUAGCGAACAGGAUUAGAUACCCUGGUAGUCCACGCCGUAAACGAUGCUCACUGGGUCUUGGCGAUACACGGCCAGGGUUCAAGCGAAAGUAUUAAGUGAGCCACCUGGGGAGUACGUCGGCAACGAUGAAACCCAAAGGAAUUGACGGGGGCCCACACAAGCGGAGGAACAUGUGGUUUAAUUCGAUGAUACGCGAGGAACCUUACCCGGGUUUAAAUGCAGGUUGCAUGAGGUGGAAACACCUCUUUCCCUCGGGACUACCUGCAAGGUGCUGCAUGGUUGUCGUCAGCUCGUGCCGUGAGGUGUCGGGUUAAGUCCCAUAACGAGCGCAACCCCUAUCGCCAGUUGCCAUCGGUUCAAGCCGGGCACUCUGUCGAGACUGCCACCGUAAGGUGCGAGGAAGGCGGGGAUGACGUCAAAUCAGCACGGCCCUUACACCCGGGGCGACACACGUGUUACAAUGGCCGGUACAGAGGGCAGCCACGGGGCGACCCGGAGCGAAUCUCUAAAGCCGGUCGUAGUUCGGACUGGAGUCUGCAACCCGACUCCACGAAGUUGGAUUCGCUAGUAAUCGCGCAUCAGC
rnacentral:rRNA from 1 species